rnacentral:siRNA from 1 species
AGUAGUUGUUAGCGGUCGGUUGUG